rnacentral:rRNA from 1 species
UACGGGGGGGGCAAGCGUUGUUCGGAAUUACUGGGCGUAAAGGGCUCGUAGGUGGUCAACUAAGUCGGACGUGAAAUCCCUCGGCUUAACCGGGGAACUGCGUCCGAUACUGGAUGACUUGAGUUCGGGAGAGGGAUGCGGAAUUCCAGGUGUAGCGGUGAAAUGCGUAGAUAUCUGGAGGAGCACCGGUGGCGAAGGCGGCAUCCUGGACCGACACUGACGCUGAGGAGCGAAAGCCAGGGGAGCAAACGGG